AUUGAACGCUGGCGGCAUGCUUUACACAUGCAAGUCGAACGGUAACAGGCCGCAAGGUGCUGACGAGUGGCGCACGGGUGCGUAAUGCAUCGGAACGUGCCCAGUCGUGGGGGAUAACUACUCGCAAGAGUAGCUAAUACCGCAUACGAUCUAUGGAUGAAAGCGGGGGACCGUAAGGCCUCGCGCGAUUGGAGCGGCCGAUGUCAGAUUAGGUAGUUGGUGGGGUAAAGGCUCACCAAGCCAACGAUCUGUAGCUGGUCUGAGAGGACGACCAGCCACACUGGGACUGAGACACGGCCCAGACUCCUACGGGAGGCAGCAGUGGGGAAUUUUGGACAAUGGGCGCAAGCCUGAUCCAGCAAUGCCGCGUGCAGGAAGAAGGCCUUCGGGUUGUAAACUGCUUUUGUACGGAACGAAACGGCUCUGGUUAAUACCCGGGGCUAAUGACGGUACCGUAAGAAUAAGCACCGGCUAACUACGUG
rnacentral:rRNA from 1 species